AGUCGGGAAUUUUGGGCAAUGGGCGAAAGCCUGACCCAGCAACGCCGCGUGAAGGAUGAAAUCCCUCGGGAUGUAAACUUCGCAAGAACGGGAAGAAUAAGUUUGUGCUAAUACCACAAGCGAUGACGGUACUGUUUGUAAGCUCCGGCUAACUCCGUGCCAGCAGCCGCGGUAAUACGGGGGGAGCAAGCGUUGUUCGGAUUUACUGGGCGUAAAGGGCGCGUAGGCGGCCUCCGCAAGUCGGUUGUGAAAUCUCCGGGCUUAACUCGGAAAGGUCAACUGAUACUGCGGGGCUAGAGUGCAGAAGGGGCAACUGGAAUUCUCGGUGUAGCGGUGAAAUGCGUAGAUAUCGAGAGGAACACCUGCGGCGAAGGCGGGUUGCUGGGCUGACACUGACGCUGAGGCGCGAAAGCUAGGGGAGCGAA
rnacentral:rRNA from 1 species